rnacentral:rRNA from 1 species
UGCACGAAUGGCGUAACGAUGGCGGCGCUGUCUCCACCCGAGACUCAGUGAAAUUGAAAUCGCUGUGAAGAUGCAGUGUAUCCGCGGCUAGACGGAAAGACCCCGUGAACCUUUACUGUAGCUUUGCACUGGACUUUGAGCCUGCUUGUGUAGGAUAGGUGGGAGGCUUUGAAGCGUGGACGCCAGUUCGCGUGGAGCCAUCCUUGAAAUACCACCCUGGCAUGCUUGAGGUUCUAACUCUGGUCCGUGAUCCGGAUCGAGGACAGUGUAUGGUGGGCAGUUUGACUGGGGCGGUCUCCUCCUAAAGAGUAACGGAGGAGUACGAAGGUGCGCUCAGACCGGUCGGAAAUCGGUCGCAGAGUAUAAAGGCAAAAGCGCGCUUGACUGCGAGACAGACACGUCGAGCAGGUACGAAAGUAGGUCUUAGUGAUCCGGUGGUUCUG